ACGGGAGGCAGCAGUGGGGAAUAUUGCACAAUGGGCGCAAGCCUGAUGCAGCAACGCCGCGUGAGCGAAGAAGGUCUUCGGAUCGUAAAGCUCUGUCCUUGGGGACGAAGAAGUGACGGUACCCAAGGAGGAAGCCCCGGCUAACUACGUGCCAGCAGCCGCGGUAAUACGUAGGUGGCGAGCGUUAUCCGGAUUUACUGGGUGUAAAGGGCGCGUAGGCGGGGAUGCAAGUCAGAUGUGAAAUCUAUGGGCUUAACCCAUAAACUGCAUUUGAAACUGUAUCUCUUGAGUGCUGGAGAGGUAGAUGGAAUUCCUUGUGUAGCGGUGAAAUGCGUAGAUAUAAGGAAGAACACCAGUGGCGAAGGCGAUCUACUGGACAGUAACUGACGCUGAGGCGCGAAAGCGUGGGGAGCAAACAGGAUUAGAUACCCUGGUA
rnacentral:rRNA from 1 species